AUCUGGGCAUCCGCGCCGGCGUCCUCUGUCUCCCUCGCCCCGGCCACCGUCUUCCUCCAUGGCGCCCAUUCUCCAGCGGCGUGACGUGCGUACGUUGGGAGGAGGCACCACAAAUCGACUGCGAGCGCCAGGAUUAAACCGGUUUUGAAAGUAAAUCACCUGAAGCUGGAAAUAGCAGUGAGUACUGGGUUCAGUAUUCCAACUGGUGCUUUUCACGGUUUGUGGUUAGAGGCACAUAUUAAUGUUAAGCUCACGGUGGAGCCUGAUUAUUUUCUCAGCGAGGAUGGUGUGGCGAAUGGCGGCCAGAUGCUUCAGAGGAAGGGGAGCGGUGGGUUGAGGUCAAAAUUGGUGGACUACUGGAUGCCUAGAAGGAAGGAAGAAGGACCGGUGGCAUGGCCUCGACAGGAUGAGGAGGCGGGUCCCGGCAUGGCCUGCACGACUGCAUUUUCUUCUCGGUUCCUUUGCUUCCAUGGGUGUUUGUGCUGGCUUGCAUUGCGAUGGAUUACGUUGUGUUGGAUCCGGCAAGGCCAGGUGAUUCUGAUGAAAGUCGGUGAGGUGCACAAUGCUUGUAGAGUGCCUUCAUAGAUUACCAGGAUUUUGAGCUCAUAAAG